rfam:Olsenella uli DSM 7084, complete genome.
GGUCUGGUCGGAAACCAGACAGGCAGAAGGAG